rnacentral:ncRNA from 1 species
GGGUUAAGGCACCCCAUGCUGAUGCUCAUCAGACUCCAGAAAAGGUGUUGGUUGAUAUAGACAGCAGGACGGUGGUCAUGGAAGUAGAAUCCGCUAAGGAGUGUGUAACAACUCACCUGCUGAAUCAACUAGCCCUGAAAAUGGAUGGCACUAGAGCGUCUGGCCCAUACCC